AGCUCCAAUAGCGUAUAUUAAAGUUGUUGCAGUUAAAAAGCUCGUAGUUGGAUCUCGGGUCCAGGCUUGCGGUUCUGCUCGUGCAGAUACUGCUCGUCCUGACCUACCUGCCGGUGUUCCCCUGGUGCCCUUAACUGGGUGUCUCGGGUGGCCGGAACGUUUACUUUGAAAAAAUUAGAGUGUUCAAAGCAGGCUUGCAGGCCUGAAUAAUGGUGCAUGGAAUAAUAGAAAAGGACCUCGGUUCUAUUUUGUUGGUUUUCGGAACUUGAGGUAAUGAUUAAGAGGGACAGACGGGGGCAUUCGUAUUACGGUGUUAGAGGUGAAAUUCUUGGAUCGCCGUAAGACGAACUACUGCGAAAGCAUUUGCCAAGAAUGUUUUCAUUAAUCAAGAACGAAAGUA
rnacentral:rRNA from 1 species